UUGUCUGCUCUCCACUAUAACAGAGACCUGAAAAUCCCUCUCUCUCCGUCUCCCUCUCUUUCUCUCAGCUGGUUUUCACACAAGAGUAAUAGGAUUACCACACACUGCUCUGCCAAGGACAGAGAGCGGAGGGGGAGACAGGAGGGCAGGUUAAAGAUGGCAAGAGGGAAAUAAAGAGAACAAGUUAAAGAAGAGAAUGCCAUGCUGGACACCCAACCUGAAGUCCUUAGGAGUAACAGGCCUGUGAUAUUUGAGGAGCAACAGAGAGCGCCAUGGAUCUGUAUCCAGUACAGCUGUCAUUUCAGAGGCGUGGAGCCAAUCAGAGGUCUGAUUUAGCAGCAUGACGGGUCUAAAGCGGGGUCAACACAGGGCUGCUACUCAUUGCUGCUGAAAGUACACCAGCUGCUGAACUUCAAAUAGAUGGCGGUAACCCAAAGCUCCUCGUUUCAAACUCUGAAAGGGAAGAACCAUAAAGUAUCAGCGACGUGCUCUUGAGUCCUGCAAGUUUUAGGUUUUGCAGGACCAGCACAUGACAAGCUUAAACCAGCUCAUGACCAGCUAAGAACCAGCUUAAACCAGCAGCCAUGCUUCAAAACAUACCUAACCAGCAUGUGCUGUUUUUUCAACGGGGUUAUCAGUCUUCCUUCAAGUCAGUAUGUCCGUCUUAUUUUUCUGCUUCUUCAGCUGUACAGGUACUGAUUCUCUAUUGGUAAAACUUGAUAAUUAGUGUAUAUAUGAUAAU